UCCAAGUCUCAGCUUCCUGAGCAGCUGGAUUUACAGGCGUGCGCCACCAGGCCCGGCUGAUUUUUGCAUUUUUAGUAGAGAAGGGAUUUCACCGUAUUGACCAAGCUGGUCUGGAACUCGACCUCAGGUGAUCCACUCGCCUAGGCCUUACAAAGUGUUGAAAUUACAGGCGUCAGCCACCGCGACCGGCGGUGAAAACGAAACGUAUGUCUUAUUUUGACUCUGCAUCAAGGAUAAAGACGGAAAACAAAACGCUGUUUCAUCGGGCAGCAGGUCCUAUGAUAACUUUUUAAAACCUCUUUGGUGGCCAUGGCGCAUUUUGAGAACGUGAUGAACGCUGUAGACCCUUUCCCUCCAAAGAAUGGACAGUAGUGCUGUUAAAGAACAGACUGAUCGACCGGACGCAAUGGCUCACGCCUGUAAUCCCAGCACUUUGGGAGGCCGAGGCUGGCGGUUCACGAGGUCAGGGGUUCGUAGACCAGCCUGGUCAACAUGGUGAAAUCCUGUCUCUACCAAACGUACAAAAAAAAAAAAAAAAAAAAAAAAAAAAAAAAAAACCAAAAAAACAGCCAGGUGUGGUGGCGCACGCCUGUAAUCCUAGCUACUCAGGAGGCUGAGGCAGGAGAAUUGCUUGAACCCGGGAGGCGGAGGUUGCAGUGAGCUGAGAUCGCGCCACCGCGCUCCAGCCUGGGCAACAGAGGGAGACUCCUCUUAGAAAAAAAAAAAAACAACAAGCAUAAAAAUAGACUGAUCAUCUGUAGUUUUCGCACUACUAAUCACGCCCUCCACUAUCUCGUUCGGCAGUCAGGGCCCGCGGGCGAGUCCGGAACACAGUUACCUGCCCCUGUUGCCCACCGGAAGGCAAAGGGAGAGGAACGCGCCGGACCGGAAACGGAAGAGAGCGCAGGGGAUGUUUUUGGCAUGGGGACCCACUGUUUCAGGUGCGCUGUUGGUUGACUUUGUGUCUCGGCGGUGCUUCCUACAGUCUCGGCGUUUCUACCUCUUCAUCCCCGUUCCUGCCACCCGUUGUCCUCUGGAAGCCCGGAGACAUCAGCGGCUGCAAUUUUGCUACUCGCUGCUCUGCAUGGAACGGUCAGGACAAAAAAUAAUAUCCAAGGAUAUUUUGGCAACUAAUGGGCGCAAUCUGUAGCAAGAAAGUUGAGCGUCUGAACUGUUGAGACUUCCAAGGAGACUUC
rnacentral:lncRNA from 1 species